GAAUCUUCCGCAAUGGACGAAAGUCUGACGGAGCAACGCCGCGUGAGUGAUGAAGGUUUUCGGAUCGUAAAACUCUGUUGUUAGGGAAGAACAAGUAUCGGAGUAACUGCCGGUACCUUGACGGUACCUAACCAGCAAGACAAGGCUAACUACGUUCCACCCGCCGCGGUAAUACGUAGGUAGCAAGCGUUGUCCGGAAUUAUGGGGCGUAAAGCGAGCGCAGGCGGUCUUUUAAGUCUGAUGUGAAAGCCCCCGGCUCAAGCGGGGAGGGUCAUUGGAAACUGGGAGACUUGAGUGCAGAAGAGAAGAGUGGAAUUCCACGUGUAGCGGUGAAAUGCGUAGAGAUGUGGAGGAACACCAGUGGCGAAGGCGACUCUUUGGUCUGUAACUGACGCUGAGGCGCGAAAGCGUGGGGAGCAAACAG
rnacentral:rRNA from 1 species